rnacentral:rRNA from 1 species
CCUACGGGAGGCAGCAGUGAGGAAUAUUGGUCAAUGGGCGCAAGCCUGAACCAGCCACGUCGCGUGAAGGAAGACGGCCCUACGGGUUGUAAACUUCUUUUGUAAGGGAAUAAAGUGCAGUACGCGUACUGUUUUGCAUGUACCUUACGAAUAAGGAUCGGCUAACUCCGUGCCAGCAGCCGCGGUAAU